AGUAAAGAAGAAAGAGAAAGAAGAAGAAAUGAAAAAGAGGAAGAAGAAGAAGAAAGAAGAAGGGGAAUCGACCGUAGAGCUUCACCGAAGCUGGGUCUUGGUAUUUUAAGCUCAGAUUAAUAAUUAAAGCAUUGAGAUCUUCGAUUUGAGGUACAAGCACCGUGUACAUAUACAAGUUACCCACCUAGAGAUCAGGAGUCAGACCCCACUGUGGAAUUUCCUUCUAAGGAUUGGUGGGUCCCUGAUGAGUUCAAGCACGGUGCCGAUUGCACGGGCGAAGAUCGUGCUGUAUGACAGCUGUGACUCCUGAGUGAUUCUUUUGAUUCUUUUUUAUAUACUCCUUUUUUAUUACUUAAUGCUUAAAUUGUUAUAUUUUUAUCUAUAAAUCAUGUUUUCGGGCCCAAA